CUCCUCGUUGCCCCGACCUCCCCCAAUCCCUGCCUCCUCUCCUCUCCCCAAUCUGCUGCCUCUCCCCAAUCCACCGCCUCUCCCUCAAGGCGCUGUCUCUCUCCUCCUCCCGCGUCUUUGACCCCGCCGACCCGCCGCAGCCGGCGCUCUUCCGUUCCCCCUCUGCCUUCCCUCUCUCUCCAGCCCGCUGCCGCCUCCCUUCUUCACCUCCGUGGUGGUCCACGGCGUCGCUGAGGAGCGCAGGCCGCCGUAUCCAUUCAUCUGGCAGGCUUCUCCUCUGUCGUGCCCUGCUGGUGGUGGCUUUCUCCGACAAGGAGAGCUCGCUGUCCCUGAGCAUGGCGACCUCCGCGUCCCUAUCCGUUUCCACCACCUCCGCCGCUAGAUCCGGGCAUGGCGACCUCCAGGACGGACCUCUCCUUCCAGGGCAGAGAACGACGCCCGAAGGUACGUCAGCGCCUGUAGAGGGCGAGGGAGAGCGGCGACAGCGGAGAUUUCUUCACCACUGCCUCUGCAUCUCUCUGUCUCUACCAUGGCCCUGCCUACUCUUCUACAGGGCAAGAACCAAAUAGGGCCCAUGACUGGCAGCAUCUGCCCUCGAGCUCCAGCUGAAGCAAAUAAUCCCCAAGGUGUUGUUCAAUCCAUCGGUUGCUUGCAGUGUGCUGUGAUUAAGGAGGACAUGUUAUUUUAGUGUGCGAGAGAGAUCUUGCAGGCUGGCAUCUGGGAGGAUCAUUCACCUGACCAAGCACAGUAUGAUGGUAGUAUCAAAUAUGAGAUUAUUAAAGCAUCUUUUGUAUUCCUCAAGCACUGGCAGGGCUGCGGUAAUGGGGAGUGUCAGCAACUAAAAUUAAUUCAUUUAUCCUUGGAAGUGGGAUAACAAGAAGGGAAAAUGGCAUGCAUGAUCACUCUUUUUUAAUGUAAAAAAUAUUAACUGGAAUUUAAGAAUGUUGACACCGCAUCUCUGGUUCAUUAAUGAAAUUUUCUGCUCUUCAGUUUAACUUUCUGUGGCUCGUUGUGAUAGUGAAGGUCGAUAUUUUGAUAUCUAAUGGAAUGUACAUAUUCUUGCCAUUUUAUAGUUGACUUCCUGCCAUGAUUUGCUUCCUAAAAGAAGUAGUAGCAGUCAACUUGAAAUAAGUAAUUUAUCUAGCUACAAAUGCUUAUUCUAGACUGAUUAUGUAUCUUUCAAAUGUGGGCAAUGGUUUAUAGUUGACACUUUAGUCUACAUAUCUGCUAAAUAUUUACAUGUUUGCAUGGCCAGAAAAAUCAGAUACUGUACUUAAACUUUAGUGAUGGGUUAAAUAUUCUACUUCUUUCGACUAAAUGUUCAUCAAGGACCGCACGCCUGAAACAAUUAACUGGCUUUGCUUUUGGUACAUGUUCCAUGUAUAUAACUCAUUUUUCUGUUUCUUGAGGAUAAAGACACCAUAUAGAGAUUUUAGAGGUUGACCCUGGUUUCAGAUAGAAAGUGCAUGAUGGUUUAAAUUUAUUCUACUCCUUACAUGAGGGUCUAUGCUACUUUCAAACUUGAGCGGAGAUUUUAUUAUAUGAUAUAAAUUAAAUCAUUUGUUUCUACUGCAUGUUAAAGGAGUUGGCCAAUGUUGGCAUGAAGCCAUAAAAGUUAGCUGGUUGUGGAGGAUUUUGGUAGUGGUGAUGAAUUGGCACCUUUUCUUGCUUGCCAUCAUGCCAUGAUUCGAAAUUUGGUUCUCAGGCUAGGUGGUGUGGUUACUUUCAAUAGCGCUUCAGUUCUGCAGUCGACAGUUCGACCUCAUGCUAGGGCAGCCUCAGACAGUUGCCUCUUCUACCAAAGGUAUGCCUUCUACCGAAAGUGCGAGAACAACGAUGAUCUCAGGUGGUUGCCCUAGUGAGUUAUGAUCAACUGGAUAUGCACAACAACUGAUUAUCAUGAUGUGUGGUUUCUGAAUAUUGAGACCUCCAGUUUUGGGGAUGGUGCACUCUAAUUUGGAAGUGGCUCAAGAAUCAUCGAGGUUGCUCCUUCUCUGUUCCUUUGGUCAAGUCAUAUACUAAUACCGCGUUGGAUAAAGAGGAGAGGGAUGUGCGGCAGCGGACGGGAGAGGGUCACCGGAAGGAACAGCUGGUCAUCGUUCACAUCGCGCUGGGCCAGAGAUGGUUCUUUACAACCCACACGUCCGCAGGUUCCUUCUUCCUUCCUGCUGCUCUCCUCUUUUGAUUAGCUGUAACUACAUGUUUGGGUCAGUGCUAUGCCUGCUGUCGCUGGGCAGUACUUUAGGCAAGUCAACCUUCCAAUUCGGUAUGUAUUAGCACAAGGAGAAGAGCCCCUGUUAGCUUUUCUUUUUGCAGAUUAGACCAAUAACCUACAUCAGUCGAUUUGAGGGUAUGCUGAAUGUGAUAUUUAAUUAAUAUGGUCAUUCUGUUGUUCAGAGUCCACAAGUGGUUGCCCUGAAGUCUCCUCCUUGCCCGGCUUAUUCAUUAAGGUAAGAUUUUGAUUGUCUCAAUUUGUCGCUUUAGUUCCACAUUAACCAUGAUUUGUUGUGUGUAAAUGCUCAUAUCCCAUUAAGUUCAUGUGUAUAAAUCAAGUGGGUUGAAGUGUGCUGUGAAUUUCCUAAAGAAUUUUACUUGAGAUAUUAUAUGCAUGGUGUGGAUUGUUGAGUUUGCGGGCUCCUUCAGGUAUUCAAGGGAAAAACAUAAUAUGUUUAACUAAUUUUCUAUAUUGCUUAUUUAUGCAUUUGUGACCAUAGCUUUCCACUUUAGCUCAUAAACUGGAUGGCAAAAUAGAGUUUGUUUUAUAGCUGAUGCUUAAUAUGUUUUAUUGACUGGUGAAUGCUCAACUUUAGCUCAUAAACUGGAUGGCAAAUGCUAAUUCUGAUGGGGCUUUUGCCACUUAUUGAUUUAUGGUUGUGUAGACAGCUGAUGGCAUGCUUCUUUCUUGCUAAUUGUCAUUUCUUUUGUACAGGGUCCGUCAGCUACUUAUGCUUUGCUAGACAAUGAGAGUAUGUAGAUAGCAUGUACUGUUUUUCAUUGUUUUGCGCAGGUUGAGAUGCACCACAUGAUGUUUUCCUUUUACAUUUAUGAGUAUUACAUAGUCCUUUCUUUUUCCACAAGGGGCAGUAGUUGUGCCAUUUGAUUCGAAGGACAAAGAGUUGAUCACAAAGGGGUAGCAUUCACGAUAUAUACACAAAAGUAUAUGACCAAACUAUAUGAUGUAAUUGACCACUAUUUCUAUUAACUUCUCUUGUAUACAAUGUUCACGAGUUCAUGUAUUAAGUACAUUUUAUUGUGUCA